rnacentral:rRNA from 1 species
CUAGGCUCUCCAACCCAUUGUGAACUUACCAAACGUUCCCUCGGCGGGCUCAGCGCGCGGCGGCCUCCGGGCCUCCGGGCGUCCGCCGGGGAAAACCAAACCCUGAUUUAAUCGUAUUUCUCUGAGGGGCGAAAGCCCGAAAACAAAAUGAAUCAAAACUUUCAACAACGGAUCUCUUGGCUCUGGCAUCGAUGAAGAACGCAGCGAAAUGCGAUAAGUAAUGUGAAUUGCAGAAUUCAGUGAAUCAUCGAAUCUUUGAACGCACAUUGCGCCCGCCGGCACUCCGGCGGGCAUGCCUGUCCGAGCGUCAUUUCAACCCUCAGGCCCACCCUUCCGGGGGAGCGGGCCUGGUGCUGGGGAUCGGCGGCCCUCGCGGCCCCCGUCCCUCAAAUUCAGUGGCGGUCGCGCCGCAGCCUCCCCUGCGUAGUAGCACAACCUCGCACCGGAGAGCGGAACGACCACGCCGUGAAACCCCCAAUUUUUCAAGGUUGACCUCGGAUCAGGUAGGAAUACCCGCUGAACUUAAGCA